rnacentral:rRNA from 1 species
GAUGAACGCUGGCGGCGUGCCUAAUACAUGCAAGUCGAGCGAACGGACGAGAAGCUUGCUUCUCUGAUGUUAGCGGCGGACGGGUGAGUAACACGUGGAUAACCUACCUAUAAGACUGGGAUAACUUCGGGAAACCGGAGCUAAUACCGGAUAAUAUUUUGAACCGCAUGGUUCAAUAGUGAAAGACGGUCUUGCUGUCACUUAUAGAUGGAUCCGCGCUGCAUUAGCUAGUUGGUAAGGUAACGGCUUACCAAGGCAACGAUGCAUAGCCGACCUGAGAGGGUGAUCGGCCACACUGGAACUGAGACACGGUCCAGACUACUACGGGAGGCAGCAGUAGGGAAUCUUCCGCAAUGGGCGAAAGCCUGACGGAGCAACGCCGCGUGAGUGAUGAAGGUCUUCGGAUCGUAAAACUCUGUUAUUAGGGAAGAACAUAUGUGUAAGUAACUAUGCACAUCUUGACGGUACCUAAUCAGAAAGCCACGGCUAACUACGUG